GUGGUUAUCUAUAUUAUAUUAAUCAGUUUGAUGAGACUUGUCAAAUAUUAUUAUCUAUUUAUUUUUGCAUACAGUACAUGUAUUUUUGAUACAGCUUACUUAUUCAUUUUACGGAUGAUUAAAACUGGUAUAACAUGUUUCCUUAUACUCUGUGUUUGCGUCAACAGUAACACGGAUCAUGUUGUUUGGAUGUCAUGUCAAUAGUCUAAUGUUUGUG
rnacentral:lncRNA from 1 species